rnacentral:misc_RNA from 1 species
UUUCCGUAGGUGAACCUGCGGAAGGAUCAUUAUCGUACAAAAUGUGAGGGGCAUGCGAGGGCUGUCGCUGACCCAAAAGUCGUGCACGCCCGAGUGUGUCCUCUUGCAUAAUAAUCCAUCUCACCCUUUGUGCACCACCGCGUGGGUCCCCCUUUGGCUUGUUCGGAGGGGGGCUUACGUUUUCGCACAAACUAUGUAUGCAGUGUAGAAUGUAUUUUUUGUAUUUGCGAUCACGCAAUCAAUACAACUUUCAACAACGGAUCUCUUGGCUCUC